CAGGUAUUCUGCCACUGUGUACUCUCUGUUUAGGGUCAGUCACAGUGGUCAGGUAUUCUGCCACUGUGUACUCUCUGUUUAGGGUCAGUCACAGUGGACAGGUAUUCUGCCACUGUGUACUCUCUGUUUAGGGUCAGUCACAGUGGUCAGGUAUUCUGCCACUGUGUUCUCUCUGUUUAGGGUCAGUCACAGUGGUCAGGUAUUCUGCCACUGUGUUCUCUCUGUUUAGGGUCAGUCACAGUGGUCAGGUAUUCUGCCACUGUGUACUCUCUGUUUAGGGUCAGUCACAGUGGUCAGGUAUUCUGCCACUGUGUUCUCUCUGUUUAGGGUCAGUCACAGUGGUC